UACAGAGGGUGCAAGCGUUGUUCGGAAUUACUGGGCGUAAAGGGCGCGUAGGCGGAAUGGCAAGUCGGUCGUGAAAUCCUUCGGCUCAACCGAAGAACGUCGAUCGAAACUGCCGUUCUUGAGGAUUGCAGAGGAGACUGGAAUUCCCGGUGUAGCGGUGAAAUGUGUAGAGAUCGGGAGGAACACCGGUGGCGAAGGCGGGUCUCUGGGCAAUUCCUGACGCUGAGGCGCGAAAGCGUGGGGAGCAAACGGG
rnacentral:rRNA from 1 species